rnacentral:rRNA from 1 species
UACGUAGGGGGCAAGCGUUAUCCGGAAUUACUGGGUGUAAAGGGAGCGUAGACGGUAAUGUAAGUCUGGAGUGAAAGGCGGGGGCCCGACCCCGGACUGCUCUGGAAACUAUGUUACUAGAGUGCAGGAGAGGUAAGCGGAAUUCCUAGUGUAGCGGUGAAAUGCGUAGAUAUUAGGAGGAACACCAGUGGCGAAGGCGGCUUACUGGACUGUAACUGACGUUGAGGCUCGAAAGCGUGGGGAGCAAACAGG